GCUGUGCAAUUUCUGCUGGCGCUAUUAUGGCUGUAUCACUUGUCAGCUUUCAUAAACAAGAUAAAUAUAGUUAAAGCAUCAGAUAUGAAGAAAUUUGGCAUGUUACAGCAACUCAUCAGAAAUAUUUUUUGAAAGGUACCUUGUAAAAAAAGAAACAAGAGGAUGCCAGAGAGGUUGAAAACUUCAAAUUUGUCUUUCUGCAAAAUUCUUUUGCCCAAGGAGGCUGCAAGAACUCAGUGUACACUGCCUUUCCAACACCACGUGCUGUCACACACAGCAGCUGGACCUGCACUGACUCCCUAAAAGCUCAAGAGGACACCCAUCUGAAGGGCCUGUGUGAAAGACCAUCCCCCACUCUUCCCCACACAAGUGGUUGGUCUGUGCCUGCAGCUACUCCCUGCUCCAAAGACAAGAAUCUCCCCUCCAGCACCUGCAUGAAAAGACGGAGCCCAACAGAUCUCCCCACGCCCAGGAGGUGCCCACGCUCUGCUCCCUUAUCUCCUCCAGAAAGCUGCCCCUGGAAGCAAACUAGUGAACAAUGGCAGCCUGACUUUGCCUUUUCACAGGAUGACUGGUUGGACCAUCUUGUGGGGUGAAAGGCACAUCAUGGCCACAGCUGGUCUCCUAUCUCUGAUGGUUCUUCAGGUACAAUGCUCCCAACUCCACAUUAUGGAUUAUAACCUGCAUACCCUCAGCACAACACUUUGGCCUUUCAGCAGAACACUCAAGUGAAGUGUUCCCUGCUUGCUGUUGCAAAUGCCAAAAGAAUCCACCUUACUUUCUCCAUGAGGAAUUGGAAAUUACCUCAUGAGGGAGGUUAUAAUCCACUGCCAAGUGAGAGAGUCAAGAUUAACCAGAGGAACCUGAUUGAUCUCCGUGUGAGGUUUCCUUAAUGAAGCUCUGGUUGUUUUCCACUGCAACAAGCUGCAAAGCAAGGUAACUUGUGGGGUGCUCUGAGGGAAAAGUUAGUGUAAGGACCACUCUGUUCAGGACUGUGUCUCCCAAAUUAGAGACAUGCUGGCAUGCUGAAGGAAGGACAAUUGAUCAGUCAAGCAAACAGCAAGGAUACACAGACACAAUUCCAGUCUUUGGCCUCAGCUGAAACUCAAGAUCAAGAGCAAUGUGCUCCUGCUUGCGUGUCAGUCACAGUCUGGUGCUGUUAGAAAUUCUGCCUAUUUGGUCUACCUGAAAAGGAUCAUUUAUUGCUCCCCAAAAUUCUGUGACAUCAGGCAGAGUAGCUGUGGGAACCUGUGAGCAUCAGGAGAUGUGUUCUGGACAAAAAAAUUUUCCUCCUUCCCCAGAAUUAGAUAUCUGCUCCCAGUUCUGGUUGUAAACUAUUGUGUAGUGUGUCUGUGUUUUGAUUAUCAUGAAAAUGAUGCCCUGGAGCUAUCUGCACUGUGGUUCUCUGUGUGUCUCACUAAAGAGGUGAAUGAAAUCAUCUCUGGCAGCCCAGUUUGUACAGCGGCUGUCUAGGCAGUGCAUAAACAGGAUCCUUUUUAUUUACGUCAGUUGCAUAAAACCAAAAUUCUUUCCAAGGAUUUGCAUGUUCACAGGCCUAAUCAUGUUAGCACAGUGCACAUUUGCAAAUUUACACU